UUGAAAAUUGUGAAUAUAAACUGUUCAAUACAUGAAAAAUAUUAUAACGGGUGAAAAAUAGAUUUAAGAAAACUUUCUACUGAGUAAGGGGUCAUAUUUGAAAUAUUUAUAUUCAAUUUCAUACAUAUUAUAUUGAAAAUUUAUAAUCUUAUAUACUACAAUAAUUAAUAACAUAUUAGAUUAUUUUAUGUGUAUGAUAUGAUUCAAUUUUUAAUACAAGAUAGAAAAUCCUAGAAUUGACGGGUUUAGAUCGAUAUUAAUACAAGAUGGUAUACUACAGGUGAAACUCUUAAAUUAACAAUCAAACUACAAGUGUAUAAUCUUAAACACUAAACAAUAUAGAUAAUAUCAACAAAACAUAUACAACUCACAGUUUACUUUUAAUAUUUUAUAUACAAAAUCAAUUAAAUCUUAAUUAAAUCUUAAUCACAUAAAAAUUAGCACAAAAAAAAAAA
rnacentral:sRNA from 1 species